UACGUAGGGCGCAAGCGUUGUCCGGAAUUAUUCGGCGUAAAGAGCUCGUAGGCGGCUUGUCACGUCGGGUGUGAAAGCCCGGGGCUUAACCCCGGGUCUGCAUUCGAUACGGGCAGGCUAGAGUGUGGUAGGGGAGAUCGGAAUUCCUGGUGUAGCGGUGAAAUGCGCAGAUAUCAGGAGGAACACCAAUAGCGAAGGCAGCUCGCUGGGACGUUACUGACACUGAGGCGCGAAAGCGUGGGGAGCGAACAGG
rnacentral:rRNA from 1 species